rnacentral:tRNA from 1 species
CCCUCUGUAGCUCAGUUGGUUAGAGCGCUGCUCCGGAAUCGCAGGGCCGUAGGUUCGAUUCCCACCAGAGGAC